UUUACAAAGGGUCUGUAAUCUGGCAAAAUAUCUAAUCGCGUAGGUCUGAAAAUCUCAGACCCAUUCUUAAAACAAAGGAUGUCCAAGCGUG
rfam:Marine metagenome ctg_1101667382440, whole genome shotgun sequence.